GGGGGAUAUGGCGAAAUCGGUAGACGCUACGGACUUAA
rnacentral:tRNA from 1 species